CUCAAGUCUGAGUUCACUUUUCUCCUUUUCCAGUUUUUGUUUGACUCUCUGCAGAUUGUCUAUUUGCUCUCCCAAAUCUGCAACACUGUCGGCUUGUUUCUUCCUCAGUGUGGCAGCAGUGGCCUCGUGCUGCAGAGUGGCCUCUUCAAGGUCUCUGCGAAGCUUCUGAAACUCUGCCUCUCUUUUCUUAUUCAUCUCAAUCUGAACAACUGUAGCUCCUCCAGCCUCCUCCAGUCUCUCACUGAUCUCCUCCAGCUCUCUGGCUAAAUCUGCUCUCUGUUUCUCCACCUU